rnacentral:rRNA from 1 species
AUUGAACGCUGGCGGCAUGCUUUACACAUGCAAGUCGAACGGUAACAGGCCGCAAGGUGCUGACGAGUGGCGAACGGGUGAGUAAUGCAUCGGAACGUGCCCAGUCGUGGGGGAUAACUACUCGAAAGAGUAGCUAAUACCGCAUACGAUCUAUGGAUGAAAGCGGGGGACCGUAAGGCCUCGCGCGAUUGGAGCGGCCGAUGUCAGAUUAGGUAGUUGGUGGGGUAAAGGCUCACCAAGCCAACGAUCUGUAGCUGGUCUGAGAGGACGACCAGCCACACUGGGACUGAGACACGGCCCAGACUCCUACGGGAGGCAGCAGUGGGGAAUUUUGGACAAUGGGCGCAAGCCUGAUCCAGCAAUGCCGCGUGCAGGAAGAAGGCCUUCGGGUUGUAAACUGCUUUUGUACGGAACGAAACGGCUCUGGUUAAUACCCGGGACUAAUGACGGUACCGUAAGAAUAAGCACCGGCUAACUACGUG